GAAUCUUCCGCAAUGGGGGCAACCCUGACGGAGCGACGCCGCGUGGAGGAAGAAGGUCUUAGGAUUGUAAACUCCUGUCACCACAGAACAAAAACAGAGGGUUAAUACCCCAUCUGUCUGAUGGUCUGCGGAGAGGAAGGGACGGCUAAAUCUGUGCACGCAGCCGCGGUAAUACAGAUGUCCCGAGCGUUGUUCGGAUUUACUGGGCGUAAAGGGUGUGUAGGAGGCAAGGUAAGUCAGCUGUGAAAUCUCUGAGCUCAACUCAGAAACUGCAGCCGAUACUGCCUAGCUAGAGGAUCGGAGGGGCAAGCGGAAUUCUCGGUGUAGCAGUGAAAUGCGUAGAUAUCGAGAGGAACACCAGCGGCGAAGGCGGCUUGCUAGACGAUACCUGACUCUGAAACACGAAAGCUAGGGGAGCGAAC
rnacentral:rRNA from 1 species